GAAAGCCGAUCUCUGGCGAACUGACAGCAAUGCAUUUUUUCCUAUUGAAAACAGAAGCUACUGUACUGCUUUUGAAAUAUAUGCAAAUGAUACAUGCGGUUAGCGGUUUGGCAAAUCUUGAUUACAAUAUAAACUACCCAAGAAAAAAGUGCCUUCGUCCUAAAUUUGUCUCCCGAUUACAAUUCCAAUUGAUUUUAUUUUAUUGUCAACAUUGUUAAUGAUAAAAAUAGAGUCGUUUUACAGUUAUUUUUACUUUCUGGAAGGCGGCAAUUAGAGUUCUAAUCAGGAAUACACAAAAAUCUCCCAUGAUUAUCUGCAGUACUUUGUUCAAAUUGCAGCUAUAAAAUUCAGAACAAUUUGCCUGUAAUGAUUAUGGACUGGGUUUAUUUUGGGAGGUGGAAUAAAAGUGGAUAUAGCAUAAAUUAUCCUCUAAUUAUACACCAGUGUCGCCUCAAUUAUCCUCUUAUCAAAAUGGUUGUCUAACUGCCGCAUUUAUUUCGAUUCUCUCCUUUUUUCUAUAAAAAGAACCUCAUACCUUGUUAUUAUUAAUCCAUUUAUUAUUUGCAAGGGGAUUUAUAGCUGAACAUCCAGGUGCUAGAAACCACUUCUCGCUAAGAUGAACUGGGGAAAGGAUCGCCUAGAUCGCCUAGACCGCCUAGACUUUUGGAUCGCCUAGAGCUGGAGAAUCUGCCUUUUGGGUGUCUCUCUGUCUUUCUCUCUCUCUCUCUCUCCCCCUCUCUCCCUCUCCCUCUCUUACACUCUCUCCCUUUCUCUUUUCUCUUUCUCGUCUCCAAAUCCGCUCAGGUCCAGCAAGCAAAGCAUCUUCAACCAGAGCACGGCCGCCGAGACUCCCGAGUCGUUCGGGAUUCAGACUGGAGAAGUUUGCACCUGGGACCACGGGCGCUGUGGGGACUGCGAACACCGUGAGCACUGUGAGCACUGCAAGCACCAUAAGCACUGUGAGCACCCUUCCUUGAGCGCUGAAAGGGCGAGCACCAUCUGGGGGAAGCCUGUCUCCGUCCUCUGGAAUGAACUCCUCUUCGGGAUAUCCUCGCUGCCUCGGAACUCCUGGGAGAGGGAGAGAUCGAGGCGGGACUAGCCGACGCUGUCGAAGGGAAGGAAGAAGGCGUGGUGUUGUGAGGUUAUUGUUUCAAGAUUGGGAGCCCCUGGUGGGACAGGGAUUUGGGGCAACUUCGUUAGCUUAGAUCUACCCCAGCGCUUAGUACAGUGCCUGACACACAGUAAGGGCUUAACAAAUACUAUAAAAAACAGAAAAUACACAGCCGAAUGCUUUAAGAAUACCAUAAAACAAAAAAAAAAUUCACAGCCGAAUGCACCGACUUUCAAAAUGAAGGCACGGAUGGGCCGUCUUCAUUCAUUCAUUCGAUAGUAUUUAUUGAGCGCUAACUAUGUGCAGAGCACUGUACUAAACGCUUGGA